AGCAUGAGCACAUGAUGGAGGGAAGGAGAGAAGACAGACCUGCUUUUAAAAAAAGUCCUAUCUAAAGCCAGACAUCCAGAAUUUGCAUUUUGAAGAUCAUGAGACAAAAACAGAAAACGUCAAAGCAACAGAAAACUAAUACAGGUGGAAAAGAUUACAUCUACCUUUUACUUGAAGAUACUUGGAGCGAAUUCGUGGGGAGAAUGUGGCCUGAGCAGUUCCUUGACGAACAGGCCAGCUGAAGAGCUGACCUUCUACAAUUUCCCUUCACCAUCAUCCUGAGAUCCCCCUGCUUCUCUGCUGUGCUGGAUCCCUUCUUUUCCUUGAAUGAUGUUUUACUUUUACUUGGUUUAUUCCCUUGUAUUAAUAGAGCACAUCUUCCAAGAGUUUCCUAGGAAAGGUACAUAGGGAGAUUUUUUUUUAAGGACCUCCAUGUCUGAAAAGACUUUUCUACCAUGUAUUUGACUGAUAGUUUGGCACAUAUAGGCACACCUGGUUUUUACUGUGCUUCACUUUAUUGUGCUUCGCAGAGACUGCAUUUUUUACAAAUGGAAGGUUGUGGCAAUCCUGCAUCGAGGAAGUCUAUUAGUGCCACUUUUUCCAACGGCAUUUGCUCACUUCACCUCUCUCUGUCACAUUUUGGUAAUUUUUACAAUAUUUCAAACUUUUUCACUAUUAUCAUAUUUGUUAUGGUGAUCUGUGAUCAGUGAUGCUUGCUGUUACUACUGCAAAAAGAUAACGAAUGGCUGAAGGCUCAGAUGAUGGUUAGCAUUUUUUAGCAGUAUUUUUUCAUUAAGGUAUGUACACUGUUUUUUAGACAUAAUGCUAUUGCACACAACAGACCACAAUAUAGUAUAAACAUAACUUUUAUAUGCACUAGGAAGCCAAAAAAUUCGUGCGAUUUGCUUUAUUGUGGUGGUCUAGAAUCAAGCCCACAGUAUCGCCCAGGGAUGCCAUAUAUAAGCCAAGCUUAUAGAAAUAAUUUUCCCACGGUAUUCU